rnacentral:piRNA from 1 species
UAAAAGGCGAUUGGAAACAACAGUGGA